GCCGCACUAGCCCAAUCUCGGUAGAGGCGCCUGAUUCAGGAUCAGGAGGUUGGGGGUUCGAGUCCCUCGUGCGGCA
rnacentral:tRNA from 1 species